GAGGGCUGUAUUGGCUCCUGCAGUUGUGUGCAGUGACAGAGACCUGGCCCAGUGGCUGGUGAGCAUGAAGCAAGAGCUCAGACCAUCCAGCCCACCUGUGCCGGGUGGGACCACGCACUCCCACUCUGUGCUCCUCCCAUUGACUGUGCACCUGUGUGGUCUCAGUGGCUGCUGCUAUCCUGGAGACCCCCCAGAACUCCCAGUCCACAUGGGACCUCAAGGAUGCAGAGAACCCCCAAAUGCCAGGGCUGAGCGGGACCCCCGAGUUCAUUCCCCCUUUCACAUCCUAUGAGAGGUAAGAAAACUGAGGUCUCUGGUAGGAUGCUUUGCUGUGGGUUCUUUUUUUCCUGCUGAGGAUUGUCUAAACUUUGGGGUGGAAACACUGGGGUAAGAACCCACCUCCAGUGACUAAACAGUGUCUUUCUUUGUAUAUACCAGGGUGACCUAGUGCGGGAAGGGCUGCAAAAACACCAAGUUGGGACCUCAAUGUCCAAAGGGGUGGGAGGAGGACUGUUCCCCUGCAGUAGAGCUUCUGGAAGCCAGGUCCCUUGACUCUGCAUGUUGGCACAUAGUAGGUGCUCAGCCAGCACCUGUCUCCCUGUAUCAGAUCUGGCCACAGACACCAGCACAUAGUAGAUGUUCAGCACAUGAGGAGGGGGUGUUGAAUCUGGCCUUUGUAUCGCCUGGAGGAAGUGGACACGAGGCAUUCAGAGAAUGUUUGUGGAAUGAAUAAAUAAAAGCAUGUUCUCUUAAAGAAGCAGAAAAUGCAGAAGAAUCCAGGAAAGACAGGCAUAAAUCUCCACCAAGUGCUGCCAAGACUGCAGCUAAGGCCACUGAAAAGUCCCUGCAGAUGGAGAGGGGCCAUUUGUCAUGGACGGGGAUGGGCUUGAGGGCCAGGGAGCAGGUCGUGAUGGAGGACCAUUUGUCAUCUUCCUAUUAUACCCAUGCCACUCACAUCAUCUGCAUGCACAGCCACCUGCCCAAGGGCACCAGGCCCUGAGCCCAGUGAGUGUGGGGCUGGGGGCCUGAGGCUGGGAGUGGGAAGGACCCUAAGGAGAGGCAGGCUGGGCUGGGUGAGCAGGCAGCCCGGCGGGGAGUCCACCUCCUCCAGAAAGCCUUCCCUGACUGAUCCUGCACAUGCAGAGUCUCAGUUUGCAGUCAGAUAUUCAUUACUCUGAUUCUCUGAUCAACAGGUAUUUCCCUACCCACACUUCAAGCUCUGCUGGAGCAGGGGCCAUUUCUGAUUUGUUCACCAUGGUAUGCCUGUACCCGGCACAGGAUCUUGUCUGGAGAAGGUGUUGCGUGAUGCCUGCGGCCUUCCUUCCCUUUGCAGGCCAAGUGCUGGACCGGGCACUCGGCAGGUCUUCAGUAUGUGGACAUCAAGGAGCAGAGCCUUCCAUUGAUCCCAACCAUGAGCCAAGAACAGGGACACAGGCAUCCACACCAGGCUGCUUGUGCCAGGAGAGAUGUGGCUGUGAGCUGGGCAGCCCGGCCAGACCCCAGAAGCAUUCUCUGGGUCUGUGGAGUCUCAGCCCCGGAUCUGCUCCAAAAUGUUCCAGAAUGUUCCCUGUCCUUGGAGAAGGCCAAGCCCCCUGCAACCCCCAGAUGCACAGUACCCUGCCGGACCCGUGGCUUCUCCCCACUUCACCCAGCAAGAGAGAGCCCCGGGGCACUGAGAAGCCUCCUGUAUCCCCCCACACUUUAAAGGACCCUGAUCGAGUACCUGGGGGCCAAGCCCUCACCGGGACAGCAGCAGCCUUCGCUGUGGGAGCGGGUGUGCUGCCUGGGCACUGGGAUAAACACCGAGUGGCAAUAAACUGGAUGAAAGAGCAGAGGACAUGUGCUCCUCUCCCAGCGUGGACAGCGAGGCUGGGGAGGAAGGCAGGAAUUCCUCCUCUUUGUUUUCAAACACUUUGAAUGUUGUCAAGCCAUUUGAAUAAUAAAUACACAGUAUCAAGAUGUAAA